CAUCCUGGUGGAAAGCAGCUUUAGACAGCAACAGAAAAGCAUUCACCUUUGAUCUGCAUGUUUCACUGCAAGAGAUGGGCUCUACACUUGAGGGACAAAGAAUCAACAAAAGCAUACCAACCUCCUACCGUGUGCCAACCACCGGGCUAGACACCAGAACCAUGAGGAUGAAUAAAAACCAAGCUCCCUGCAUCUUUUCUGUAUGGAAGAGGCCCUCAUUUGGACCAGUGCAGCAUCAGACUUGACCACGAAAAGCCAAGAUCAGAACGUGGAGGUGGAAGACAUCUCACCAAAAGCAUCCAAGAGUGAGUCCUUUAUAGAGUGGUAGAUUCCAAGGAACACCUGGAGCCUUGAACAAAAAGGUAUUACUCUGAAUGUUUUUCCCAAGAAAAGAAAUCAGACCAGUGAUAAAAUCAAGAAUGAUCAAACCUCAAAGGCAAAUGAGUUUUUCUCUGGUUUAAAGGUGCUUGUGUUAUUACCAGGAUAGCUUUUGGUUUAAGUGAUCUUGCUGCCAUAGAACUUUUUGUAAUGCAUCAAAAUUCAUAGGCUGUGAAGGCCAGGAAAAAAAGAGUAGGUGGCAGGGUUAUUACCUGACUUUCAAUUCAGUAAACAGAAUUCAUCCUUCUACAGAGUCAUUUAUACAAAAUACUGAAGGCGGCUUUAUGGUCCAAUGAGAUGGGAGUUUGAAUGACUUAAAUUAUUGGCUUUCAGACUGAAUGCACGUUUAUGAAUACGCUGACAUCCCCCUGCACUAAAUGAGGUGAUGUACAGCUAUUGUCCACAUACUUUCUGUCACCACCACUCUCUUCUCUGGCUUUGGCUUGUCCCCAGAGCAUCAGGAUGACAUUAAGUGACAACGGCUGUAGUAUUCCCACUACACAGGGAACCGCCCUUGCUGCUUUCAGUGGAUCCCUUCAGAAGGGCAAUUCACAAGAUGUUGGGCGGACGCAGGAGAAACGAGGGAGCUGGAAGGAUGAGCUCCCAAUGACCACGCAGAGGAUCGACUCCUCUGUCAAAUACCGCCAACUCUGUCACAACUACUGGACAGUUUCCCAGGUCCUGGGGAUGUGAAUGGGACCCAAAGGCGACCCUGGCACCUUGUGCCUCACCUCAUCUCCUUAUGACAUUCAAAUAAAUAGUAAUCAAAAGGCAAUUUACAUCUCUGCUGCAGCGUUUGCUAAAAAUGCUAAAGGAAAAAGACUGCCUUAGUGCACAGCAAAACUCAAAACUCCUCUCCCCGGGCUGUCUCUGUUCUCAUCAUUCCAUAGCCCCUAAGACUAGCGCAUAAAUCAACCCUAGCAGUCUUUCUGCUUUUUCUCAUUUCCCUAUUCUGUGUCAGCUCUCUGGCUUCUUCCAGUUUUCCUUUUCCACCAUCAUCCAGAUACUGUUUGAGAAAAGAGAAUAGUAAGCAAGGUGGGCCUGGGGCAGAAACAGAUGGCACAGAUUUACAACUUAUAUAUAUUUUUUUUAAGCUCUCAUAUAUUCUCCCUUCAAGGAGUGCCCAUUCUGAGCAUGGCUGUGUUUUAGAUAAACCAAGGGUAUAAAAUAUUAUGUUAUCACCUGUGUGUUAAU